rnacentral:sRNA from 1 species
CAGCUCAUGCACAGGAAGGAAAUCUUCAGAAAUUGACUAAUGUGGCAGCUGAAGACAAUCAAUUAGCCAGAAUAGAAGUUGAGACUGACUCUAAAGUAAACAAUGAUGUAGAGUACUACAACACAGCACUAGAAAUAGCUGACACACGAGUGCCUGUGGACAAGCUUCACAACUAUUUGAGAACUCACAAUAAAGCUUUUUUCAAAGAACAAUUUCUG